CCACAUCAGAGACAGUGUCAGUCCUGGCUGCUCUGCUUUGGACCUAGCUCUCUGCUAAUGCUCCUGGGAAUGCAGAAGAUGACCCAAGUGCCUGGGUCCCUGCUGAUCAUCUGGGAGACCAGGAUGGAGUUCUUGGCUCCUGGCUAUGGCCUGGCUCAGACUUGGCUGUUGUGGCCCUUUGAGGAGUGAACCUACAGAUGGAAGAUUUCUCUCUGUCUCUCUCUGUCACUCUGCCUUUCAAAUAAUAAAUAACUCUUUCUGGGCCAGUGUUGUGACAUAGCAGGAUCUGAGUGAAAGAGCAUGCGGUAUCAGCAAGUCAUGGGGCUGGAGGAUGAGCGUCUGCUGUGGGGUUGUCCCCUGGGCUUCACAGCUCCUCCCACAGCACCGGUCCUGAGCACUGUCUGUGGGUGAAUGACAGGUCAGUGUUGUAAAAGGUUAACUUCAGGGAACUCUGGGUUAAGGGUUAAGGGUUGUUAUGGCUGGAAUAUGAGUUAAUCUGAAACUCAUUCAGGAGUUUAAAUCCUGAAGUCUUUUUUUUUUUUUACUUUUAUUUUUACUUUUUAAAAUUUUCACAUUAAUAAGUUUUUAACAGAUUCAAUAUAUUUUGUAGAUACAUUUUUUAAAAGAUUUAUUUAUUUAUUUGAAACUCAAAGUUAUACAGAGAGAGGAGAGGCAGAGAGAGAGAGAGAGAGAGAGAGAGGUCUUCCAUCCUCUGGUUCACUCCCCAGUUGGCUGCAACGGCUGGAGAUGCGCUGAUCCGAAUCCAGGAGCCAGGAGCUUCUUCCAGGUCUCCCACGUGGGUGCAGGGGCCCAAGGACCUGGGCCAUCUUCCACUGUUUUCCCAGGCCAUUGCAGAGAGCUGGAUUGGAAGUGGAGCAGCCAGGUCUCUAACUGGCGCCCAUAUGAGAUGCGGGCGCUUCAGGCCAGGGCAUUAACCCACUGCGCCACAGCACCAGCCCCUGUAGAUACAAUUCUAAGAAUACACUGAUAUUCCUGUCCUCCCUCCUUCCCUUUCUCUCUCUUUUUUUUAAAUUUUUGAGAUAACAUUUUAAAUUUCCAUUACAACAAAAAGGCUUAAUACUUCACCUAAUGAGAAGUUUAACAAGUGAAAAGCAAAAUGACCCCAGUUUAGUGGGAGUACAGACAAUGGCUAUAAACAAUGAUUGAAUGGAAAUAAUGAUCUUUUCACCCAUAUACAGUAAAUUAAUCACAGAUCAUUAAAACCAUAGUAGUGUAACAUUCGUAACCAUUGGUUUGAUGAAGGUAUAAAACAAAGUUUUUCAGAAACUAGAUUUGCGGCAAUACUGAUACACACAAGCUUUCUUCCUUCCUUUCUUUUUUGUUUUUUAUUUUUUAAAUUACAGCUCCCGUAUAUAAAAGAGAACAUGCAGUAUUUGUCUUUCAGGGUCCUAAGCUCUGAAGUCUUACGGUGAUAGUAUUAAGAAGGUGGAAACUCAAUCCAUUUGCAAUGUUUAGAGAUGGGGCCUUUGAAGGAGCGAUCAGAUUGGCCUAGCUCAUCAGGCUGGAGGCCCCAUGACUGAGUCCUGGCAGCCUCGUAAGGAGAGACACACUCACAGGCUCAUGCACGCCCCAGCUCUCAUCCCAUGUGGCCCUGUGCCACCCUGUGCCUCUACAGCAAGAACAUCCCCAGAGACUCAGUCAAUGGAGUCUGCCCAGUCUUUCUUGUUUUUAAGAUUUAUUUAUUGAAAGAGUUACAGAGAACGAGGGAGAGACAGAGACACAGACACACAGAAAGAAACAGAGAUCUUCCAUCUGCUGGUUCACUCCCCAGAUGGCUGUCAUGCCCAGUGCUGGGCCAGGCCUAAAACAGGAGCCAGGAGCUUCACCUGGGUCUCCCACAUGGGGUUCACUCAAUUGUGAACUCUGAACCUCUGCAACCAUGAGCCAAAGUAAACCUCUUCCUUUGGUAAGUAGCCUGCGCCUGGUAUUCUUGUUUCAGUGAUGGAAAGCUGACCCCCACAAGGGUAUGUGAGAAUCCUUUGUUCUAUUCUUGCAACUUUCCUGUAAGUCUGAGAUGGUGAGAAAUGUUUUGUUGUUGUUGAGUUUGCUUUGACAAGUGAUUCCGGAACUAUACAGAAGCUACCCACGUGCAGGUCAGAGCUUCUGUAUCACCAGGCAAAAUAAGCCAUCCCUUGCUGCCCACUGCUGGACAGCCAAGUACCAGGGUCGAGCGUGGGUAAGAGGAAAGCAUUUAUUCCCGGAGGCCUGCGGUCUUGGGAAAGAGUGAUCCUUGGAUCCAAAAUAUACUCUUUCCCUCCCAAGAAGCCUGCGAAAAGUGUUUUUCAAGGGAGGGGAGUCACUGCAGGUGGAAGUUAGUUAAAACAAUGACUCCAGUCAGCGGGCUCAUUAAGCAGGGUUUCAGGCUUUGUUUUGAUGCUGGUCUGUCCACGAAAUCGAGGGGCUCAGCCAGCUGGGGGGCGGGUCCUAUAAUGAAACUCAGCUGUUUGCAGUUGAUGGUUGUGACUCUCUCCUUAGCUGGGUGUGAGGUCUGCCCUCUGCCAUCUGCCAUCUUAGGCUCCCACUUCCAUGCAAAUAUCAUCAUUCACACGAUAAGUCACAGGUAAUUCACAACAUCAGCAGUUGGUCCUUGUUAGCUGAAAUACAAAAAGGGAAGGGAAGAAACCUUCAUUAUGGUUAUAGCUGGUCUCUAAUAAGCAGAGCAGGUGCUCCCAGGUGAGCAUUAGCAGGAAGUUGGAGUCAGAAGUAGAAGAGCUGGGACUCUAACCAGGCACUCCAAUACGGGAUGUGGGCAUCCCAAGUGGUAGCUUAACCACCGCACCAAUUGCCUGCCUACUGCUGGCUCGAAGGGAACAAGGAGACAGAAAAUGCAAGUGGCCUCUGGCGUCCAAGAACCAUCCUGGCCCCAAGCUGGCAAGAAAAUGGUUCUACAGCCACACAGGACUGAAGCCUGUCCACAGCCCAGAAGUCCCCCGGAAGGAUGCCCUUCUAGAGUCUCCCAGAAAGGGUCAUGGCCUCUUGACACCUUGAUUUUGGGGCGUGAGACCUGAAGCAGAGACUCAGCUAAGCCAUGCUGUGCCCAGGAACGGAGUGCUGAAAUGGUGAUGGGUCUCCCGGGGAAAUUCUGACACCUGCUGCAAUGGGAUGAACAGUGAAGACCCUGUGAAGAAAGGGCCAGCCCUCUGAUUCCACCACGUAAGGUACUUAGAGUCAUCAGCAUCACAGAGACAGAAAACGUUAUGGUGGUUCCAGGAGCUGGGGAGAGGGGAGUCGGGAGUGGUGUUUAGGGGACAUGGAGUUUGAGAGUUGUGUGGACGGAUGGUGGGAACAGUUGUCUGGGGAAGUGAAUGUAUGUCAUCCCAUUGAAUUGGUUAAAAUGGUAAGUUUUAUGUUUGUGUAUAUUUGAACACAUAAAAAGGACUUUAGUCACAGCCACAUUACUGGAGGGUCUCAUUUACUUGUUACCAAUGGGUUACACAUUUGGCUCUAGGCUUUCCAGCAGUUAACGUUUCAAGCAUUUUUCCUUGGAGAGUGAGGGGCUUCCCUACCUUAUGAAGCAAAACACUUUGUUAUAAUGGCCACUUAAGUGACGCCAAUUAAAACCAAUACCUAUUACACGGCCAUUUAAACCCGUGACAAUUUGCUGAUGCUUUUUAUCGCCUAAUGGGAUGGGAAAGAGAAGGUGAAUUUAUAUUUAACUGAAACAUGUACUUUAAAGUGAGGGUAAUAUCCAACAAAUUGGUGUUUUAUGAAAUAGAGAUGCUGAGGUGGGUUGAGGAAGUGGGGGAGACACGGGCACAGGGACACAGACCCCGCUUAAGUUCAAGCCUUCUGCUUCAGGUUGGUCACGCACACUCAAAAUUCCAGUUUCCAGCACCCGGAAAGUCUCUCUCUGGUCCAGGAAUGUCUUUGCCACCAGCAAGGAGCUGUCAGCUCUGAUGUCUUCUCUGGAGAGGUGCAGCAGCCCCCCCACCCCACCCCCAUACCUCUGUCUGCCAUGAGGCCUCCUCUGCAGCGCUCCUUAAAUGACUGUCGUUUCUCUAUCAUUUUCCAAGGUCAAAGUGAAGCAGAGAGGAUCUGCGGGUGAGAGAAGCUGUCAUUCAGCAGGCACCUUUCUAGCCCAAAUAGGCCUCUGCAUUAGUGCCAGGACCUGGCAGGCCAGGCUAGGGUCAGAGAGAAGCAUCACCAUUUCAGGGCUCCAUCCCAAGGCUCAGGCACGCGUGGGGUGCCCCCAGGCCUGUCACAUGUUUGAGGGUCUGGGCUCGCCAUGAGAAGCCACUGACUCUUCUCCCUCCUGGGGCCACCUCUUGGCAUUUGAGAGCAGGCACCAGCAUUCCAUGAUGUUAUGCGAAUCCUUCCCUGCAGCCUUGGGUCUGGUCCAUUUCUCAAGGCUGCUCCAUGCUGGGAGCCUGUGGCUACAAAGGUGGCCCCUUGACCUUCAUCAUUUGUUACCAGGCUUGCAGCUCUCUGCUGUUUUCCCAUCCUGUGAAUUAGCUGCAAGCCUUGCUGUGGUCCAUGUGGGAGUGAGUGACAGGCUUCUGUGUGGAAGUGCCCCAGGGUAGGAUGCUGAGGCCAGACCAUCAGAUGGCUGUGCAUCCGAUGUAAGGGAAGAAAUUCCAGCUUCCAGCACCCGGAAAACUGUGCAUUUUAAGUAAGGGAAGAAAAGAACCCAGGGGUGGCCUCAGAAGAUACAUGUGGCCAGGGGUCAGUCAGUUGCAGAAACAAAGAGAUAGAGUGCUCAGGAUCAAAGUCACGGAGACACGUGGCCCCAGAUCCCACGUGGACCUGUGGUAUCUGCAGGAGAAGCUGGCCUGAGGACAAGUCCCGAGGCUGUGGCACAGCUUUAGGGAAGCCACUCGCCUUAAGGUCGGCUUCCUUGGUCAUUGUGGGACAGUAAAUGGCACAGUGCCCGUGGAGUUGGUGAAGUCAGGUGGCUCUGAAUCCGGUCUCCUCUGUCCCAGGAGGAAGAGGCAGCUUUCAGCCAUGUUUUCAGUCGAGUCCACUGUGGCAAUGACAUUUUUUUUUUUUUUUUUUUGACAGGCAGAAUGGAUAGAGAGAAAGGUCUUCCUUUGCCGUUGGUUCACCCUCCAAUGGCCGCUGCGGCUGGCAUGCUGCGGCCAGCGCACCGCGCUGAUCCAGGAGCCAGGUGCUUCUCCUGGUCUCCCAUGUGGGUGCAGGGCCCAAGCACUUGGGCCAUCCUCCACUGCCUUCCUGGGCCACAGCAGAGAGCUGGCCUGGAAGAGGGGCAACCAAGAAGAAUCCGGCGCCCCGACCGGGACUAGAACCUGGUGUGCUGGCGCCGCUAGGUGGAGGAUUAGCCUGUUGAGCCGCGGCGCCGGCCGGCAAUGACAUCUUCAUUCUAGCCGUUAAAUUAGCCCAGAGGGACAAAGGGUGUCCUACUGUGCUUUAUUUAUUUUUAUUUUAUUUUUUUAAUUCACAGGCUUUUAUUGGGGUUCUGCUCCCGGUGAGGUUCCCCGGUCCCAACAGAGCAACAGAGCGGGGGCUGGGGAAGUCGCGCGUCAGAGAUUGGGAGAGCUCCUUUUUAUAGAUUCAGGGCAUGGGGGUUAAAGGUUUUAGGCGGGUCUGAUCCUCAUUAGUUGACCUUUAGGCACCUGCAGGGACCUUGACAAGGACUUUCUUCCCCAGAAGUAGGCCUCUCCAUUCCUGGAAGUGUAGGCCUUCCCUCCUUGCGGAUCCCAAAGCUACCAUCCUGACCUUUUGAUGAUAGGAAAGGGGGCGACGAUGAGUCUCUCUGGCUACUUCCUGCUGACUGGGGACGUCGUCUACAGGGGCCCGCUGCGGCUAUCUUGGGGCUCCACAGGGACAAGCAUGUAUGGAUGGAGAAGCAUCUGGUUGACUGCCUGGUUGCUGAAGGCCUUGGUUCAUUCCAUUAUCACCUGCUGUAAACACUUAAACAGACACUGUAGUAUACAAGUCAGGGUGAGAAUAGCAACCAAUGUUCCUAAGAGUGGCAUUAACCAGGUAAUGAGAGGAUUUCAUAGAGGAGAGGAAAUGAGGGGGGAUCUCUGGACCCUUGUGAGGAUGGUUUGAUGGAUGUGGUUUAAAUCUGAUCCCAGCUGAGACCAGAAGAAAGGCCAUUCUUUUGCAGGUAGAGGGGUUUGUCUGUAGAGAAAUUCUGAAUAAUCAAACAACAUUAAAUGUGGGAGAGGACCAUCAGUACACAUAUAUUGGGAGUAGAGCCAUUAAUGUUAGAGUAGAGGCUGUGAUUACAAAGGAAUGAGACCCAAGUGGGCUAGACAGGGUCUAGAACAAAGGACAGAGUCAUUAUUAGAGGACCCAAGAUACUAUCUAAGCCACGAAUAAGUUCUCUGUGAGGCAAACAGAACCUGACAGAAGGGGCUUGAAAAUAAUCUGGUGGGCUUUAGGCCUUGUAAGUUAAGAGGUGCAGACUUCUCUAUCUCUUCACAUAGGGUACAUCCUAAGGGAAGUGUGAACCUCCUUGGGGAAGCACCCUGUCGACUUCCAUUACCUAGCUGGCCUGGGAGGAGAGCUGGCCAGGUAAAGGCAGGUGGCAUCUCUAACAGGAAAUUUACAGCUCUGCCUGUAAUGUUGCUGACCCUACUUGGCCGUCCCCUCAGCUGCAGUGGUCACCUUGGAAGCUGGGCUGAGUGAAGGGCUUUUCAGCUUAGAGCCAAUAAGAUCUGUGGCUCUGACCUGGGUGUCCUUCAACUCCAGGGCAGGGCAAUUUCCAGUGAUCCAACUCUUGGCAGAGCUGCCAGGGCUCUUCACAGGCUGACUUCUGCUGAAGCCCAGGCUUGCCACACUGAAAGCCGCUGCAGUGGACUGGCCUGUUGGGUCUCCUUGAGGACAGAUCACUGUACAGAACAGCCAUUAAUAGGCCUGCCACCUAUCAUCACAUUUCUGAUGCCUGGCUUUCUCUUCCUCCUGGUUUUUGUUAAAGCAGACCAGAGGAUGCAAGUCAAGGGGGUGCCAGUGCCAGAUCACUUACUGACAAUAGCAAUAUCAAAUGAAAACUUAGAAAGCAGUUUUAAUCAUUAGAUAACAAAUAUAGCAGUUUCAAUACUAGCUUUUUAAAAUUUUUAACUUUUUUUUUUAAUUUACCAAUUGAUUUGAAUCACUUUGUAACCUCAGCUAACCAUACUUUCAGUUGGUACCUAUAAUACAUUAUUGGCUUCAUCUGUUUACAGCGCCAUCCCAGAGUACUGAAUACAAUAGAAGUGGCUGGAAAAAGUCCAUCAGAACCUGUAAGAGGACAGCUAAGCACAGAACCAACAACACUUUAGUUUUAUGAGCAGCAAAUCUGAUAUAUAAAACUGUGGAUGACAAAAGACUUUUAGUUGCCACGUUUAAAAUUAUAAACUCAUCGCUUGCUUACUUCACAUAGCAUUUUUGAAAGCACCUGUAGGAUUUUACAGAACAUUUAACUCUUUAGGUCUCUGUGGCUUUCUCAUUAAGAUCCAAGAUUUCUUUCUUUCAUAACCUUCUGUGACUUCCACACAUCCUCUUCAACUUGAAACAUUCCAUCAUUUCCAUUCUAGUCUAGAGUAAACUAGCCAUCAGGAUGAAGUCAAUCUUACAAACUUUGUCCUUUCUUUAUUCAAAAUAACUCUUUCCUUUUAACCUUCCUUACCAAAUGCACAUUUCUAUAACAUUUUUAACACAAAUUUAACAUGCUGAGUAUACAAGAGUUUACAAUAAAUUAGCAGUUACACCUAAAUGACUUAAGAUGCUAAUAUGAUAUAUCUCUACUGAUUGCCCGGAAACCUGUUAAAAUAAAUUGCAAAAAUAAGCUCAGCAAGUUACAAAGCAAUAUUUUCAAAGGUAGUGGUCUACUUAGAUUCAAAGAAAGGAAACCAGAGGAGGAGGCUAGAGAGCCACGUGUCAGGAACAGGUCCCUUUAAAACUUUGCCGGAGGGCAGCCAGGGAAGCAGGAGCCCGAUCUUGGCCAGCAAGACCUGGGCCGUGGAGCAGGCAGAGAGGAAAUUAGAGGAGAAGAGGGUAGGAUGGGAGCGGAGGUCUCAGAAAGCCUGGACAUAGGGACCUCUGACCAUUUUCUCUCCCUGUGGCAGAAAUUCUCAAGGUAAUUAGGCCAUGCCUGGGUUGAGUAGAUUAGGUGUUUACUCCGUAGGUCCUGGGCCAGUCCCAGUUUAUUCAAGUUCUUUAGGAGGCAGGCCAGGGGGCAUGUUGAGUCCCACCCUCAGGAUUGGCCAGAUCCCAUGGUCUCCCUGGUAGCCUGGAUCUACCGAAAUUCGGUCAAGGCGUCCCCUGUCCCGGACUUCAGCAGACGGAUUAGAGGUCAGUCCUCUACGGGGCCAAGCCAGUGGUGGGGCAUCUCCAACAGCCGCUGGGAGGCUAAACAGCGGAGAGAACAGAGGCCACGUGCGCAUGAUUUGGAGGUCUCUGUCAGGACGGAGAGCUAGCCGGAGAUCGCAGAGACUGGGCCAACCCAAAGGAGGGAGGGAGAGCAAGGGAGAAGUUACUACAGUUGGUCGAGCAUGGUCCGUAGUCAGCCUGGGGCACCAGACAGGUUCAAGGAGCGAGGGGCCCUCAAACUCAGAAAGGGGAGGCUCGCAACCACAGCUCCCCGGUUUCGGCACCAUCUGUAAGGUGUCCAGCGUGUAACAAAUCUUCCCAGGCAGACGAAUCAAUUAAUUCACAGGCUUUUAUUGGGGUUCCUCUCCCAGGCGAGGUUCCCCAGUCCCAACAGAGCAACAGAGUGGGGGCCGGGGAAGUCGCACCCCUACUGUUGCUUUAAUGAACCACGCAGGAGCCUCUUCAGACUGCCAGGCUGAGGGCUAUGGCCCUGGUUGUGGCGUCAGCUUUGUCUAUGGGCCCAGCCAGCUGCUCUGGGCGUCUGAGGGCCUGGGGCUGCUGCAGCCACCCACACAGCUGGAGGAGCCCCAGGUCUGUGUUGCUGGUACCGCAGCCAGACCCAGCUACCCUGAGAUUUCUUCCUGUGCUUGCCUGCUGCCGUCAGUUGUGUUAAUUAACGGGCCAUUGACCACAGUUUCUCCCUUACCCAAGUGUAGACCCUUUGGCAGGUGUGCGUCCUCACAUCUGAUCCCCAUGUUGGCUGCACCUUACUUAUGGUCAUGGAUCUCUUCAUUUCCACCACAUCUUUGAUUUUUUUUUUCUCAUGCCACAUCCUUGUGGGAGAAACAGGAAGACCUUCAGAAAGGCAUGGAAACUGAGGCAGGGAAGCAGUAGCCGGUUGGCCAGGGCUGGUUCAGUUUUAUUUCUCAUUGGCAAGAGGGGGCCUUUAGAACAGUCUUUGCUGUCCUCCAAGGGGAGGAAGUGGAGUGAACAGUUGUCCUGUUCUCUUCCCAGAUACACUCGAUGAGCACCCAAUAAUGCUGGGGUUCUCAGGAUCCCCCUGGGCUAAUGGUGCAUGUCCAUUCAUACAACUUACCAGGGCAGGAAGCUGCCACCAUGUGUGUCUUUUAAAUCAUUUUUAUCUGAGAGGCAGAAAGACAAAAGCUCUCCCGUCCAGUGGCGGUUCACUCCCCAAAUGCCCACAACAGGUGGAACUGGGCCAAGCCAGGAGUCAGGAAUCCAGGUCCCCCACAUAGGUGGCAGGGACUCAAUUGCUUGAGCCACCACUUGCUGCCUCCCAGAGUUUGCAUUAGCAGGAAGCUGGAAUCAGGAGUGAGGUCAGAACUGAACACAGGAACUCUGAUAUGGGAUGCAGUGCCUCAGGUGAUGUCUAACUGCUGGCUGGAAGCCCACCCCACCACCAUUUGUCUUAUAGGAAACGUUGAGGGGUGGGGGGUGGCCAGGUACCCCUCCCCUCCACUAGCACAUGGUGAGGCAGUCAUAUUAGAAUAGUCCCAUUAAGUCCAGUCUUUCCAUUAGUGGGUUCCAGCUCAGUGCUGGCACAGGUGAGAGUUGGAAGCAGGACCAGAGACAGGAAUCUGGGGCCAGCCCAAGACCCUUUCCUUGCAGUUGUCCCCUGCCCUCUUCCUAAGAGAGGAGGAGAGGGCGAGAAGGCCCUGCAAAGGUGGGCAGCAUUUGUAAUGACAGCUCUUAGCCAGGCUGUUUUGGGCUAGUGCUCACUUCUGCUGCCCACACAUAUGUCUGUGAAGGAAGAGAGAGCCCCUGAGAGACAGGGAAGGCCCGGAGUGCUGUGAACCACGGGCAGCUGGAAGGACCCAGAGCUGGUCAGAGGGCUUAGCAGUUGGCACAGGCAGAUGUUCCGCCACUGUUGGAUGAGUCACCUGUGUUUAUCUCCACCUGCUGCUAAAAAAAGACUCCUACUUCAUAGUCUACACAGGCAAACUGAAACCCCGCAGGUCUGUGUGCAGAAAGGGGGUACAAGGCUGUUAUUCCUGGAGCCCAAGGGCCCCUAGAGAGGUGGAGCCUGGGAGUGGGACCGCGAGGGGAAAAGGCAGGACCGAGGCUUCAAUCUGGACGAGAGGCCAACGUGACCAUGCAGGCUCCAGUGCUGGAGAGUCCUCCUCCAUCCUGAGGUCUUUACUCCCUGCAAGGCAGGGAGGAAUGUGCUUUGUUUGGAGGUGGUAAAAUAUGGGUGACCCCGAAAUUUACCAUUUUGACUAUUUUUAGAUGUGAAACUCAGUGACAUUAAGUACAUUCAUUUGUUGUGCAGCUGUCACCACCUUCCAUCUCCAGAACUUUUUCUUUGUUUAAAAGUUUUAUUAUUCAGAGGCAGAGUGAAUAGAGACAGAGAGGCAGGCAGAGAUAUUCCAUUCCCUGGUUCAUUCCCCAAAUGCCUACAGCAGCCAGGACGGGGCCAGGCCAAUUCUAGGAGCCAAAUCUCUUAUGUGGGUGGCAGGAACCCUAGUACUUGGGCCAUCACCUGCUGUCUCCCAGGCGUAUCAGCAGGAAGCUGGGUCAGAAGCAGAGGUGGGCCUUGAGAGUCCAGGCACUCCCAUAUGGGAUGUGCUGUCCCAAAAGGUGGCUUAACCUGCUGUGCCCCUAGAACCUUAUCACUGUCCCAUAUUGAAACUAUGUAUCCAUUAAACACUAACCCCUUCUCUCCCCGGGGCUGCGGCAACCACCAUUUUCCUGUUUAUGAAUUUGACCAUUCCAGAUAACUAAUAUGAGUGGAAUCUGACAGUAUUUGUCCUUGUCUGGCACACUUAGUAUUAUGGUAUCUUUAGGGUUCAUUCAUGUUGCAGCAAAUUUCCGAAUUUCUUUUUUAAGGCUGAAUACUAUUUCACGGUAUGGACAGGCUGCACUUGUUAAUCCAUUCAUCUGUUGUUGGGCAUGCGGUUCCUCACGUUGUGGCUGUUGUGAAUAAUGGUGCUAUGAAAUACCUGUUUGAGUCUCUGAGUUCAGUUCUUUUGAAUUUAUAGCCACAAGCAGAGUUGCUAGAUAAUGUAAUUCUGUGCUUGGUUUUUUGGAGGAACCACCCUGCUGUUUCCCAUAGCAGUUGUACCAUUUUGUGUUCCUAUCAGCAGUGCACAAUGAUUCCAAUUCCUUUUUUUUUUAUUUGACAGAGUUAGACAGAGAGAGAGACAGAAAGGUCUUCUUCCGUUGGUUCACCCCUCAAAUGGCCGCUACGGGCGGCACUGCACAGAUCUGAAGCCAGGAGCCAGGUGUUCUUCCUGGUCUCCCAUGCGGGUGCAGGGCCCAAGCAUUUGAGUCAUCCUCCACUGCCCUCCUGGGCCACAGCAGAGAGCUGGACUGGAAGAGGAGCAACCGGGACUAGAACCUGGCGCCCAUAUGGGGUGCCGGUGCUGCAGGCGGAGGUUUAGCCUAGUGAGCCACGGUGCUGGCCCCAAUGAUUCCAAUUUCAUCACAUCCUCACCAACACCUGCUAUUUUCUAUCUUUAAAAUAAUAGCCAUGUCAAUGUGUGUGAGGUGGUGUCUCUUUGUGGUCUAGGGGAGGAGUUUUUAAAGGGUUAAGAUAGGGAGCAGUGGUGAGCGAGGCACUUCCAUGCCUCAGUGCUCUUCCCACUUGCUCCUGACCUGGUUGAGCUUCCUGGCCCUUCCCCAGCCCCCAAAAUGAGGACUGCUGGUUUGGGUUGGAUUGGGUGACAUCCAAAGCCCCAGCAGGGAGGUAUAAUUAUCAGUUCUGCAGAGUUGGCAGGCACUUAAAAGGCUAUUGCCUAAUAAUAACAAUAGCAAUAGCAACAGUGGCGACAGCCAGCCAUUGAGCCAUUACUGCUGAUUAGGUUCUGUUUCACUUAAGGUUCAUAAUCAUCCCACUUUACAAGUGAGCUCAGUGAGACUUAGCUUAAGGUGACACAGCUGGUCAAGAGGAAUGCUGAGAUCUGAACUUGGCCUGGCCCCAGAGUCUAUACGCUCAUCCUCAGACCUCCUUGUGUGGACCAGUGGAAGUGUGCACACGAGGUGGUGCACCGGUGGGUGCUUAGUAACUAUUUGGUGACAAAGUAAGACUCGUGAGACUGCUUUGAAACAGCUUCAGAUAGCACAAGGCUCCCCAAGACUCUCGCUCCACUGAAGACCAUUUUCUGGGCUGUAGUAGUGCCCAGAAUAAGUCGAGAGAGGGUCUCCUGUGAGUGAUCUGCGGCAGGCGUGGUUAGGGACUUGGAGGGGAGGUUUUAGGCAGUGACAGGACAGGCUUGGAGCAUCCUCUGUGAGAGGGACAGGAAGGGCCAAGCCACUGUGGUGUUGGAUAAUAAAAAAUUCACGUAGAGGUUGGAGUUUGGCCAGCAGUUCAGAGGCUGGUUUGAACAUCUGCAUCCCACAUCAUGGCGCCUGGGAUUCAAGUCCCAGCUCUGCUCCUGAUUCCAGCUUCUUGUAAUGCAGACUCUGGAAGAUAGUAAGUGAUGGCUCAUGUACUGGGGUCCACGCCCCACCCAUGCAGGAGACCUGGAUUGAGUUCCUGGCUUUUGGUUUCAGCACAGUUCAGCCCAGUUCCUGCUGUUGCAGGUAUUUGGGAAGUGAUUGGGAGAUCUUUGUUUCUUUCUCUCUCUCUCUGCUUCUCAAAUAAUAAAACAAGCCUUUGUUCAGGGUUUCUAGCAUGGAACUUCUGAAACCCAUGGAAUUUCCAGAGUGACGGAAAUAGCUGUUUUAUACAUGAGCCCCGUGGAUCACCCCUGAAUUUAGGCUAAUGAGGUGACACGUGGUCGGUCCGUCCCUAGCUAGCUCCAGGAUGCUGGCUGGUCACCAGAAAGAGCAACCAUGUGAUCAGAGGACUGGGACUUCGAGCCAGGCAGAUCUCCUGAGCUCUGGGGAGGGAUGGACGAACUGGAGAUAGAGUUCACUCCUGUGGCUAAUGGUUUACUCCCAUCAUGCCCAGGGAUUGAAACCCCAGUAAAAGCUGGACACUGACGCUCGAUGCAGCCUCCUGUUUGGGGAGCCCGUUGAUGUGCCAGGAUGGGGAAGGCAUGGAGGAUCUGCAUGUGAGAGCCUUUCAGACCUUGCCUUACAGCUUGGAUGAAAUGUGCCAGGCCACUGUCAGGGAGUGGCCCUGGCCCCAGGCUGAGUGACAACUGUCGGAGGCUGUUUCUGCACAUUCUGGGAUAAUCAUUGUUCAAGUAGGGUUUUUUUUUUUUUUUCAAGAUUUAUUUUAUUUAUGUGAAAGGUGGAGUUGGGGAGAGAGAGAGAGAGAGAUCUUUCGUUUACUGGUUCACUCCCAAAUGCCUUCUACAGCCAGGGCUGGGCCAAGCUGAAGCCAGGAACUUUUGGGUCUCCCACAUGGGUGCAGGAGUCCAAACACUUAGACUGUCCUUCUCUGCUUUCCCAGGCACAUUAGUAGAGAGCUGGAUCAGAAGUGGAGCGGCCGGGACUCAAAUGGGCGCCCAUAUAGGAUGCUGGUGCUGCAGGCCACAGCUUUAAUCCUCUGCACCACAAUGGUGGCCCCGAGUUAUUUUAAUUCUCUUCUUGCUUUCUAAGAUUAGAUCAGGAUGAAGGAUUUUUUACAUGAGAAAUUGAGUUUUAGAAUUUUAUCUAUUUUUGUGGUUAACAUAUUUUUAGUUAAAUGCUUAAUGGUUCUACUAAAUAAAGAGUUCAACAACAAUAACAAGAAAGACCAUAGUCCAGGAGGAAAAUAGACAAGGGCUAUAAAUAAUAAAGUGAAAAGAUCAACAUCACUCAUAUAACUUUCAAAUAGUCACCAGCUCAUUAAAACUAUAGUAGUAAGUCAACUUGUUUGACAAAGAUUUAAAACAAAAUUUGACAAAACACUGUAUUUGUAGCAAAACUGAUAAACACAGGAAGUUAUUUUCUUUUUAAAUUUUAGCUCCCACAUCCAAGAACAUAGAGUAUUUUUCUUUCUGUGUCUGGCUUAUUUCACUCAAUAUGAUAUCCCCCAGUUCCAACCGUUUUGCUGCAAAUGAUAGAAUUCCAUUCUUUUUUAUAGCUGGAUAAUCUUCUAUAUUAUAUAUAUUUCUUGUAUAAUAUACACACAA